rnacentral:SRP_RNA from 1 species
UCGUGCUAGAUGGGGAGCUAGCGGUGCCCUGUACCCGCAAUCCGCUAUAGCGGGAUCGAAAACCCCCUUGAGGCUGCGGGCCUCUCGAGACUGCUAGGGAGAAGUGGCGUUGAAGGCUGGGUCCUGCGCGGCAGAAGCCUAUGAACCCCGUCAGAUCCGGAAGGAAGCAGCGGUAAGUAGUCACUUCUGGGCGCCGCAGGGCAACCUGGUUGGAGCCAACUGGCCCUGGUAAGUCGGGCAGUCCGAGUCGAAGGGGGCCGCACGA